GAAAAAAUUAUUUGCGAUUGGGGGUAGGAUGCUCAAAUGUUUGUGUUUAAUUAAACUUAUGAGUCCUUCUAACCUCAGUUGUAAAUAAUUGCUAU